rnacentral:rRNA from 1 species
UACGGAGGGUGCAAGCGUUAAUCGGAAUUACUGGGCGUAAAGCGCACGCAGGUGGCUGAGUCAGUCGAUUGUGAAAGCCCUGGGCUUAACCUGGGAAUUGCAGUCGAUACUACUCAGCUAGAGUAUGGGAGAGGGUAGUGGAAUUCCGGUGUAGCGGUGAAAUGCGUAGAUAUCGGGAGGAACAUCAGUGGCGAAGGCGACUACCUGGACCAGCACUGACACUGAGGCACGAAAGCGUGGGGAGCAAACAGGA